UACGGAGGGGACUAGCGUUGUUCGGAAUUACUGGGCGUAAAAGCGCACGUAGGCGGAUUUGUAAGUCAGGGGUGAAAUCCCGGGGCUCAACCUCGGAACUGCCUUUGAUACUGCAAAUCUCGAGUCCGGAAGAGGUGAGUGGAAUUCCUAGUGUAGAGGUGAAAAUUCGUAGAUAUUAGGAAGAACACCAGUGGCGAAGGCGGCUCACUGGUCCGGUACUGACGCUGAGGUGCGAAAGCGUGGGGAGCAAACAGG
rnacentral:rRNA from 1 species